CAUGUAAAGGGAGAUCAGCACCCAAGUUAUUUCUCAAAGAUGCCAAUGAGUUUAUCAGAAAAAAGAUAAAAGGGUUUUUAAGAAAGUGCACAAAAGUAAGCCAAAAGGGGAAAAUAACAGAAGACAGAAGGCCAGUGCCAAAAAGUACCAGGAAGGUUAAAAACCACAUACAGAUAUAUACUUGACAGUGCUAGAAUAAAGACAAGCUCAGGACUACAUAUGAGGAAUUUGGCUAGAGCGCAGGACUUGAGAGUUUUGGAAGAUAUGUUUGUAUCGGGCCCAUAGGUUGGAGUGAAAUUUCUCAUGAUGGUGGGGCAUAUGUUCCCUGUUCAUGAAAGACCUCCUAGCUUUGUAACAUCAAGUCUUUAUCCCACAAGAAAAAAGUAGUUCUCAGGUUUUUCACAGGUUCCCAUUAUCCUCACUGGAUAAUAUUGAAAGAGCCAAUGGCUGAGCAAUAAAGUGGGCAUGUUCACCUGUUCUAAGUAAAGUCACCUUCCCAACGCAGGACCAAGGCUUGCAAGCAAAGGCAAAGUUCAGUCUCCACUAAUAUUAUCUACCUACAUUGAACAACAAAGGACACAUUGGGGAAUUUGUCAAGACCAAUUGCUGGUGUCUGUUCACUGCGUGCUUCUUCAACACCCUCUCUCCCCACUUCUCGGUCCUCACCUCACCCAGCUACAGAAAAUGCUAUCUUUUCAUCGUAACACUGCCACUUGUACACAUCUGCUACAGGCCAGACCUAGCGCCUUCUGACUUAGAUUCAUUGCCUCCAAUUCUGAUAACACUCAGAGCAGAUUACAGAUGAACAACCUGAUGUAAGCGCAGCAGUGGGAAGGCAGCACAGCUGACAGUCACACAGACCAAACAGGAAAGGGACAGCGUGCCUGUACAGGGCCGCUCCUCGUUCUGGAGAAACUGUGAGACCCUGCCGUAGAAAGAAGGUGCGGAG